GUGGCUUCGGUCGUACGUACACUAAAAUAGGAAGGAUACAGUGACGAUGAGCACGGCGUAUGCGCAAGGAUAACAUGCAAAACCGUAGACAGUGAUACUGUUGCU